ensembl:misc_RNA predicted gene, 22613
GAAUUUGAGGGUGAUUUGACUGCAAUGCCUGCCACCUACUGAUCACCAGCAUUGACUAGGCUGACCUGGCUGGCUAGGCUGGGGUCCCUUUCCUCCCUCACAAUUUUAUAUGUGUCCCUCCUGCAUGUUUUGGCCUCAAACCAAACAGAGAAGGAGCCAUCUUAAGUCAAGGGCACACACAUAACUAUGUUGCUCUCUUGAACCCCUAAACAAACUCUGGGAAAGAAUUCAAAACAAAAACAAAAAAGCCUAGCCUGUAACGUCUCAGUCGCCAUGGGGCUUGAGACUUCUU